rnacentral:tRNA from 1 species
ACUAUUUUGGCAGAUAAUUGUAGUGGUUUUAGAAAUCAUAUAUGUAUAUUAAUUAAAUAUAUAGAUAGUA